UACGGGGGGGGCAAGCGUUGUUCGGAAUUACUGGGCGUAAAGGGCUCGUAGGCGGCCAACUAAGUCAGACGUGAAAUCCCUCGGCUUAACCGGGGAACUGCGUCUGAUACUGGAUGGCUUGAGUUUGGGAGAGGGAUGCGGAAUUCCAGGUGUAGCGGUGAAAUGCGUAGAUAUCUGGAGGAACACCGGUGGCGAAGGCGGCAUCCUGGACCGAGAUUGACACUGAUGAGCGAAAGCCAGGGGAGCAAACGGG
rnacentral:rRNA from 1 species